CGAAAGCCUGACGGAGCAAUACCGCGUGAGGGAGGAAGGUUUUUGGAUCGUAAACCUCUUUUAUUAGGGAAGAAAAAAAUGACGGUACCUAAUGAAUAAGCAUCGGCUAACUCCGUGCCAGCAGCCGCGGUAAUACGGAGGAUGCAAGCGUUAUCCGGAAUUAUUGGGCGUAAAGAGUCCGUAGGUGGCAUAGCAAGUCUGCUGUUAAAGACCGGAGCUUAACUCCGGGCCAGCAGUGGAAACUGUUAAGCUAGAGUAUGAUAGGGGUAGAGGGAAUUCCCAGUGUAGCGGUGAAAUGCGUAGAUAUUGGGAAGAACACCGGUGGCGAAAGCGCUCUACUGGGUCAUUACUGACACUGAGGGACGAAAGCUAGGGUAGCG
rnacentral:rRNA from 1 species